CAGAUUUUUUUUCGAGCCCGGACGAAUCAGAGUCAGAAUUGACGCUCCACCUGAUAGGGGUCUGUUGGGCAGUUAGAUAAAUCUCAUCUGUUUAGGGAAAUGAAAUUACGUUGAUUAUAUCUGUUAUGAGUAUGUUAGAAAGUAACAGACGGGUAGGAAAUGUCCGGAGAUUAGUAUAUUUGGUAUUAAUGAGUAUUGGUAAAAUUAAAUGGUGAGAUUUAGAUAACUGCGAUCCCAUUUUUCUCCAAAUCUGCAUAGCUGAAGACUACUUGUUCAAAUCUCAGGCUGAAAAGAAUAUUUUUUUUUAAUUUGACUUUAUUUUAGAAUAUUUUUUUCUGUAUGCUGUCAAUUUUUGCAAUGUUUUUUUGUUUUUCAAUUUGAGCCAAAAUUUAUGAAUAUGGUGUUAUGGUAUGGAAAAUUUUUAAAAUGUGUAUGAGAAGCAAAAAAACGUUAAAUAUGAAAUUUUCGUGUUUCUGCCUUUCAAGUACAUGCCUAAAAUCAAAUUGGAAAGGAUAAUAAUUGAAAAUUGACAACGCAAGAAUGAUUGCAAUAAGAGCACCGUGAAAUCAAAACGAAAAAAAAACGACUCGCCAUUGAGACUAUAGAGAGGUCCAAACGUAUUGAAAGAGGAAAGGAAAAAUUUAACUUCAUGAGUACAUUAACAAUAACCUGCAAAGAAUACCAGUUCACGCCAUAAAGUCCCAAAAGGUUCCAAGCUCAACACAGGAGUUCAAAGCAACAGGCUAUUAGUUGGUAAGGAAUAUGAACCUAAUCCUCUCCAAUAUAAAGUCUGGUUUCUGUUUUAAAAAUAAAAAAAAUUAUUGAAUCGACAAAAAAAAUUAAAGUUUGGAACUGGAAAUGAUUCAAGGGUUGGAGUUAUUAAUCCCUUUGGCGUAGCAGGGAACUAAUUCCACUUAGAGAGUUAGAGUUAGUUCUCGCUCCGUGGGAACGAAAUAAUUUUUAGUAAACUGGAUUUAGUUUCUAUGCUAGGAAUUCCGGCGAUUUUAGAUUUCCAUUUUACAAAAGAGCUGCAACACAAAAUGACACGUACUAUAUAUAAACAUCCAACUUUUUAAUAGCCUUUUUUAGUAACUCAAAAACUAAGCGAAGUUUAAAUAAAUUUAAAUUUGUAUUAAAACCUAUUAUACAACAUGAGGAUUUUGUGGCGAUCUCUUAAAAAAUGCAUUAUAUUGAAUAAAAAGGUUAUUGUUCAGGUUUUUGCGUUUAUUGGCUUGAUUUACACAUUGACAUUGCUCGCAAAAUUUAAUUGGAAAUUCUAAUUCAACCCGCAGUUUGGUUAUUUGUCAAUAUUCACUCCUUUAAUUAAAAAUACAUAUUUUCUUCUACUUU